UGAGGGGAACCGCCUGAACUGAAACAUCUAAGUAGGGCGAGGAAGAGAAAUCAACUGAGAUUCCGUAAGUAGUGGCGAGCGAACGCGGAAGAGGCCAAACCUAAUGUAGUAAUAUGUUAGGGGUUCGGACAGUAUAAUGAAUUGUCGAGAUUUAGCCGAAUGUCAUGGGAAGGGCAAUCAAAGAAGGUGAAAAUCCUGUAGGCGAAAAGUUAAGACAUCAGACUGUAUCCAGAGUACCGCCGGACACGUGAAACCCGGUGGGAAUACGGGGGGACCAUCCUCCAAGCCUAAAUACUACUCGGUGACCGAUAGAGAAGAAGUACUGUGAAGGAAAGGUGAAAAGCACCCCGGAAGGGGAGUGAAAGAGAACCUGAAACCUUGUGUUUACAAGCACCGAAAGUUCAUCAACGAACGAUCGGGUACCUUUUGUAGAAUGGUCCGGCGAGUGAAUGUAACUGGCAAGGUUAAGCACUUAAGGUGUGAAGCCGUAGCGAGAGCGAGUCUGAAAAGGGCGCAUGAAGUCAGUUGUAUUCGACCCGAAACCGGGUGACCUACCCAUGUCCAGGCUGAAGUGCAGGUAAAACUUCAUGGAGGGCCGAACCGACUCCCGUUGAAAUGGUAGCGGAUGAGGUGUGGGUAGCGGAGAAAUUCCAAUCGAACCCGGAGAUAGCUGGUUCUCUCCGAAAUAGCUUUAGGGCUAGCCUUGGAAUAGAUUACUGGAGGUAAAGCACUGAAUUGGCUAGGGGCCGAGAGGUUACUGAACCUUAUCAAACUAAGAAUGCCAGAUAAUCGUUUUCCAGGAGUCAGACAGUGGGAGAUAAGUUUCAUUGUCAAAAGGGAAACAGCCCAGACCUACAGCUAAGGUCCCAAAUGUAUGCUAAGUGGAAAACGAUGUGGAGUUGCGAAAACAACCAGGAUGUUGGCUUAGAAGCAGCCACUCAUUAAAAGAGUGCGUAAUAGCUCACUGGUCGAGUGAUUCUGCGCCGAAAAUUUAACGGGGCUAAACUAUACACCGAAGCUUAGGAUACCGCAAGGUAUGGUAGGAGAGCGUUCUGUACGGAGUGAAGUCGUAGCGAAAGCGGCGGUGGACUGUACAGAAGUGAGAAUGCCGGAAUAAGUAGCGAGAAUUAAGUGAGAAUCUUAAUGGCCGAAAGUCUAAGGUUUUUGGAGGAAGGUUCGUCCGCUCCAAGUAAGUCGGGAGCUAAGGUCAGGCCGAAAGGCGUAGCCGAUGCACAAACGGUUGAUAUUCCGUUACCGUCUACAAUUUAAACAAAGGGACACAUACAAAGCGUUUAACCCGGGCGAUGGUUGACCCGGGCGCAAGGGACUGAAAUUAGAGUAGGGAAGUAAAUGUGGCGUAUGGCGAGAAAAGCUUUGUGUAUAGAAGUAGAUGCCCGUACCGCAAACCGACACAGGUGGACAGGAAGAGAAUUCUAAGGCCAGCGGGAGAAGGGUAGUUAAGGAACUCGGCAAAUUGACUCCGUAACUUCGGAAUAAGGAGUGCUCGAAAGAGCCGCAGAGAAUAGGCCCAGGCGACUGUUUAGCAAAAACACAGGUCUCUGCCAAAUCGAAAGAUGAAGUAUAGGGGCUGACACCUGCCCGGUGCCGGAAGGUUAAGAGGAGGAGUGCAAGCUCCGAAUUGAAGCCCCGGUAAACGGCGGCCGUAACUAUAACGGUCCUAAGGUAGCGAAAUUCCUUGUCGGGUAAGUUCCGACCCGCACGAAUGGUGUAACGAUCUGGGCACUGUCUCAACUACCCACCCGGCGAAAUUGUAGUACCGGUGAAGAUGCCGGUUACCUGCGGCAAGACGGAAAGACCCCAUGGAGCUUUACUGUAGCCUGAUAUUGGGUUUCGGAAAUCUAUGUACAGGAUAGGCGGGAGACUGGGAAGUAUGAGCGUCAGCUUAUACGGAGUCAUUGUUGGGAUACCGCCCUUAGGUUUCUGGAAUUCUAACCUGCGACCGUGAAUCCGGUCGGGGGACAUUGUCAGGUGGGCAGUUUGACUGGGGCGGUCGCCUCCGAAAAGGUAACGGAGGCGCUCAAAGGUUGGCUCAGCACGGACGGAAACCGUGCCUCAGAGUGUAAACGCAAAAGCCAGCCUAACUGCGAGGAUGACGGUCCGAGCAGUAACGAAAGUUGGAGUUAGUGAUCCGGCGGUAUGUGAAUGGAAAUGCCGUCGCUCAACGGAUAAAAGCUACCCUGGGGAUAACAGGCUGAUCUCCCCCAA
rnacentral:rRNA from 1 species